ensembl:lncRNA novel transcript
GCAGUCUGGACCUUCACCACCCCAGGGCGAGGGCACAGGCGAAGCAGCAGCACCCCCCCGGGGCCUCUCUUUAUUUGGAAUACAGUGUGGGGGCUCCCCCUUCCUUCUCCAGCCCGCCCAGGCCCCUGGAGCUGUCCUGGGGCCUGGGGAGUGAGGACCCGUGCCAGCAGCACAGACUCUGCCAGGCCGGGCCCGCUCAGGUGGGAGCCCAGGCCGGGUGAAGCUGUGACCCGGCCCUCACCCCAACUCGGUGACAAAAGCUAUCACAGGGCUGCAGUGGGGGAGGAACAGGACGCAUCUGCCAGGCACCUGACCCGCAGUGCACUUCUGGGAGCUGUGCUUAUCUCCCCGGGGUCUAUUUCGCCCCAAGGUUUGGCGGGUUAAAAGCUGAUAUGCAACCGGCACGACAUGAACAGUAUUUCAUGAUUAAAGACAUCGCGUCCAUGUAUAA